UACGAAGGGGGCUAGCGUUGCUCGGAAUCACUGGGCGUAAAGCGCACGUAGGCGGCUUUUUAAGUCAGGGGUGAAAUCCUGGAGCUCAACUCCAGAACUGCCUUUGAUACUGAGAAGCUUCGAGUCCGGGAGAGGUGAGUGGAACUGCGAGUGUAGAGGUGAAAUUCGUAGAUAUUCGCAAGAACACCAGUGGCGAAGGCGGCUCACUGGCCCGGUACUGACGCUGAGGUGCGAAAGCGUGGGGAGCAAACAGG
rnacentral:rRNA from 1 species